GCGAUCCCAGGUCAGGCGGGGCUACCCGCUGAGUUUAAGCAUAUCAAUAAGCGGAGGAAAAGAAACUAACGAGGAUUCCCUUAGUAGCGGCGAGCGAACCGGGAGGAGCCCAGCAUGAAAAUCGUUCGCCGUUGGCGGUCGAAUUGUAGUCUGGAGAAGCGUCCUCAGUGACGGACCGGGCCCAAGUUCGCUGGAAGGCGGCGCCGGAGAGGGUGAGAGCCCCGUUGUGCCCGGACCC
rnacentral:rRNA from 1 species